UAGAAUGGAAGCCCAAGUGGACAGUUCAA
rnacentral:piRNA from 1 species